AAGUCGUAAAACUGUUUUUUAUCUGUGACGUGAUAACGGUUUAUUUUUCUUUCAAUAUGUUACACUACAUGCUAAUCUAAAAUCUAGCAUAACUUAAGAUUUAAACAUCCUAAAAAUAAUUUAGUUUUUUUUUAUCUGUGAUUUGUGAAUUUAUACAUAAACGUACGAAAUCAGUAAAAUCAGAGAUCAGAAAUCAGUUGCACGCGACAAUUAACGAGUUAACCACUGAUAACACUCACGCCACUUACGCCACUUUAUUGUUUUAAACUCAAUAAUUCGAUCACUUGGAUUUACACCCAGUAGUAAAUCGUAGGUUCAUUAGUGAGCACGAUUCUUGUAUUCCAUAGGAUUGGGGAUACAAGGACUGUUCUAAAUACGUUUCUCAAAGGCAACGUCGAAUACAUCAGCAGCAACUCGAAGAUAUCUGCAAAUAAAUACAGAAAUUUUAUGGAAAAAAGAACAGGGCAGUCCAGAAAGAAUCCAAUAUUACCAAUCGGUCAUCCCGAAAAGACCAUGAUUAGGGGUUUCAAAUUGGUUUGUACGUUAAUUAUGAUAAUGUCUUUUGCUCCAGCAAAUGGACUUGAAUUCAAUGACGUAGAUUUGCCAAUAUUAAGUGGGAAUUAUUUUGAAAAUGUUCCCGAAAACACCACCAAUCUUUCAUUUUCAAACUGUAACAUUACCUACGUGAAGUAUUUCGCGUUUCAUAUAUUUGAAAACAUGACAACUUUGAGCAUCACCGGAAACAACAUGACAACAUUCAAUAUAGCUCCCAACCAACUGCGGGUUCUCGAUUUGUCUGUCAAUCAAAUAACAUAUAUUGAUGAUCAACUUCUGCUGAACUCCCCUAAUUUAACGCAAUUGUACUUGGAACGCAAUAACUUGAAAAGCAUUGAUUGGAAUUUAAAUGCGCAUUUCAACCUGCAAAAAGUAAUUCUAAAUGAGAAUCAGAUAACAACCAUCAACUUGAUUUCACCUACUCUGCAAGAACUUUGGAUCAAACGCGAAGACGGACGGGUUCAAUUUUCAGCAACAAGCAAAAUGGAACAACUUACAUUUUUGGAAACCAGCGAAACGGAAACUGACGCAGAUUUGUGUUGGUUAAGUAACUUUACAUUGAAGAUUCAAUCAACUCAAGAAGUAAAACUUUGCAAGAAUUCUACUAAUCAAGUUAAGAAUCCCAUCAAUUUUGGAAAUCAAACACACAGCGCAAGAGACGAAAACCAGUUAUCUAUCAUAUGGUUUUGUGCUCUUCCGUAACAAUUGUUAUUGUAAUACUUGGGUUAGGUUUUAUUUGUAAAUGGUUUUACCUACGCACAAAACUAACCUACACAAAAAUUUCACGUUAAAGACUAAUCAGGGGCGUAGCUACCGCCGUAUUUGCCGUAUCAAUUAUACGGGGCCCCCGGGCCACGGGGGCCCCCAAAGUGUGUGAGGAAAAACCUUUACCUCCAUAUAAGGGCCCCCAAAAAAAUUUUUAUACGCGGCCCCGACAAGGCACGCUACGCCACUGAGACUAAUUGACAUGGUUAAGAAGGAAGUAUAGCAUUGCGAACGCGUCUUUUUCAAUUAAGCUUUUUUACUUAUUUUCGUGGUUAUAUUUAUUGGUAAUUCGCUUUAUUUAAAUGUUUACUAUGGGAACUACAAAAAAAUGCUUUAACAAUAAACUUAAGCAUUCGGGCAGCAACUUCUAA